rnacentral:rRNA from 1 species
CCUACGGGUGGCAGCAGUGGGGAAUAUUGCACAAUGGGGGAAACCCUGAUGCAGCGACGCCGCGUGAGUGAAGAAGUAAUUCGUUACGUAAAGCUCUAUCAGCAGGGAAGAAACACUGACCUUACGGUCAGCAGACGGUACCUGAGUAAGAAGCCCAGGCUAACUACGUGCCAGCAGCCGCGGUAAUACGGAGGGGGCAAGCGGUAUCCGGGUGUACUGGGUGUAAAGGGAGCGUAGACGGUGCGCAAAGUCGGGAGUGAAAUGCCGCAGCUUAACUGCGGAACUGCUUUGGAAACUGGCGAACUAGAGUGCGGGAGGGGUAAGCGGAAUUCCUAGUGUAGCGGUGAAAUGCGUAGAUAUUAGGAGGAACACCGGUGGCGAAGGCGGCUUACUGGACCGUAACUGACGUUGAGGCUCGAAAGCGUGGGGAGCAAACAGGAUUAGAUACCCCUGUAGUC